rnacentral:rRNA from 1 species
GACGAACGCUGGCGGCGUGCUUAACACAUGCAAGUCGAACGUGAUUUUUGUGGAAAUUCUUUCGGGAAUGGAAAUGAAAUGAAAGUGGCGAACGGGUGAGUAACACGUGAGCAACCUACCUUACACAGGGGGAUAGCCGUUGGAAACGACGAUUAAUACCGCAUGAGACCACAGAAUCGCAUGAUAUAGGGGUCAAAGAUUUAUCGGUGUAAGAAGGGCUCGCGUCUGAUUAGCUAGUUGGAAGGGUAAAGGCCUACCAAGGCGACGAUCAGUAGCCGGUCUGAGAGGAUGAACCGCCACAUUGGAACUGAGACACGGUCCAAACUCCUACGGGAGGCAGCAGUGGGGAAUAUUGCACAAUGGGGGGAACCCUGAUGCAGCGACGCCGCGUGAGCGAAGAAGGUUUUCGAAUCGUAAAGCUCUGUCCUAUGAGAAGAUAAUGACGGUAUCAUAGGAGGAAGCCCCGGCUAAAUACGUG